UAACUGAAUCCAUAGGUUAAUGAGGCGAACCGGGGGAACUGAAACAUCUAAGUACCCCGAGGAAAAGAAAUCAACCGAGAUUCCCCCAGUAGCGGCGAGCGAACGGGGAGGAGCCCAGAGCCUGAAUCAGCAUGUGUGUUAGUGGAAGCGUCUGGAAAGGCGCGCGAUACAGGGUGACAGCCCCGUACACAAAAGCGCAUGUGCUGUGAGCUCGAUGAGUAGGGCGGGACACGUGGUAUCCUGUCUGAAUAUGGGGGGACCAUCCUCCAAGGCUAAAUACUCCUGACUGACCGAUAGUGAACCAGUACCGUGAGGGAAAGGCGAAAAGAACCCCGGCGAGGGGAGUGAAAAAGAACCUGAAACCGU
rnacentral:rRNA from 5 species